CCCAAUUUUAAUAUCGACAUGCUCACAUGCAUCUAGGCACAUGUCUAUCUAUAAAACACACUAACCUUACCCUUAAAAAGCCUCCACUGCAAAUUUCUUCCCCAACGAAGGGCCUUCCCUCGAAGUUAUGCUUGUAUAUUUUUUCAGGUAGUUGACAAGUCAUCUCUCUCAAAGACUCAAACCACAGGCAGCUGUCUAGCCUGUCUUGCUAUCAUCGUUGCUACCCUGGCACAGAAUCUCUUCUGUCCAUACUGACAACACCUCCAUCCACACAGUUUGUGUAUUUUGUCAGACAUUUUCAACAAAACAAGUAGAAAAUGAACAAAUAAUUUAAAUCCCUUGAGCAAAGCGCCAUGUUGGAUAUUUUCAUUUAAAUUUUCCCGCCCAAAAUAUUCACCUGAUUCGCAUAUUCUGCGGCGACUGUCAGGCGUAAAAAUGCCGUAAAUUGUUCGGCCAUACCGUCG